GACGAACGCUGGCGGCGUGGAUUAGGCAUGCAAGUCGGACGGUAGGGCUUUAUCGUAAGAUAGAGUUUGAGAGUGGCGAACGGGUGAGUAACACGUAGGAAUCUACCCUUAAGACGGGGACAACCCAGGGAAACUUGGGCUAAUACCGGAUGAGAGUGCGAGAGAUUGCAUUUAAAAAGGAUGGCGAAAGUUGUCGCUUAGGGAUGAGCCUGCGGUCUAUUAGUUAGUUGGUGGGGUAAAGGCCUACCAAGGCGACGAUGGGUAGCCGGCCUGAGAGGGUGGACGGCCACACUGGGACUGAGACACGGCCCAGACUCCUACGGGGGGCAGCAGUAGGGAAUCUUCGGCAAUGGGCGGAAGCCUGACCGAGCGACGCCGCGUGAGGGACGAAGGCCUUCGGGUUGUAAACCUCUGUCUGGGGGACGAGUAAGGACGGUACCCCCGGAGGAAGCCCCGGCUAACUACGUG
rnacentral:rRNA from 1 species